rnacentral:rRNA from 1 species
AUGUACAUUCUUACAACAUAGAAUUAAUGCACUAGAUCCCAUUAGAACUCUGUAGUUAAGCGUACUUAGGCUAGAGUAGUACUGGGAUGGUUGACCGCCUAAAAAGUUCUAGUGUUUUACAUG